AACUUAAGGAUUAUGAACCCGGAGGCAUGACCUGUGAAUGUCAUGGGGAUUAAGCAAAAUAUCAUGACAUAUGAAUCCCACACUAAGGAUCAAUAAAGCUACAAGAACUAGAGAGCGGUAGCUGAGAGUGGCGCUAAUGCCUUAAAUUUUGAUCACAUUUCUCAAGUUAGGCUAAGAG